GAUGAACGCUGGCGGCGUGCCUAAUACAUGCAAGUCGAGCGAACAGACGAGGAGCUUGCUCCUCUGACGUUAGCGGCGGACGGGUGAGUAACACGUGGAUAACCUACCUAUAAGACUGGGAUAACUUCGGGAAACCGGAGCUAAUACCGGAUAAUAUAUUGAACCGCAUGGUUCAAUAGUGAAAGACGGUUUUGCUGUCACUUAUAGCUGGAUCCGCGCCGCAUUAGCUAGUUGGUAAGGUAACGGCCUACCAAGGCAACGAUGCGUAGCCGAGCUGAGAGGGUGGUAGCCCACACUGGAACUGAGACACGGUCCAGACUCCUACGGGAGGCAGCAGUAGGGAAUCUUCCGCAAUGGGCGAAAGCCUGACGGAGCAACGCCGCGUGAGUGAUGAAGGUCUUCGGAUCGUAAAACUCUGUUAUUAGGGAAAAACAAAUGUGUAAGUAACUAUGCACGUCUUGACGGUACCUAAUCAGAAAGCCACGGCUAACUACGUG
rnacentral:rRNA from 1 species